rnacentral:rRNA from 1 species
UAUUAUGGCCAUGCCACCCUGAACACGCCCAAUGUUUUCUGAUCUCAGAAGCUAAGCAGGAUCGGGCCUGGUUACUACUUGGAUGGGAGACCACCUAAGAAUACCAGGUGCUGUAGGCG